rnacentral:rRNA from 1 species
ACAAUGGAGAGUUUGAUCCUGGCUCAGGAUGAACGCUAGCGGCAGGCCUAACACAUGCAAGUCGAGGGGCAGCACGUAAAGUAUUUCGGUACUUUUGGUGGCGACCGGCGGACGGGUGCGUAACGCGUAUGCAACCUACCUUUAACAGGGGGAUAACACUGGGAAACCGGUACUAAUACCCCAUAAUAUCAGAGA